rnacentral:rRNA from 1 species
GCCUGCGCGACGCGAAUGUAGCUGCGCUACUUUGCCGGCGAGCGGCGGACGGGUGAGUUGGUCGGGGACCUGCCUGAUGGAGGGGGAUAACUACGGGAAACGGUGGCUAAUACCGCAUAACGUCCCAGGACCAAAGUGGGGGACCUUCGGGCCUCACGCCUUCGGAUGUGCCCAAAUGGGAUUAGCUAGUAGGUGGGGUAAUGGCUCACCUAGGCAACAAUCCCUAGCUGGUCUGAAAGGAUGACCAGCCACACUGGAACUGAAACACGGUCCAAACCCCUACGGGAGGCAGCAUUGGGAAAUAUUGCACAAUGGGCGCAAGCCUGAUGCACCCUUGCCGCGGGUGUGAAAAAGGCCUUCGGGUUGUAAAGCAUUUUCAGCGAGAAGGAAGGCAUCAUACUUAAUACUUGUGGUGAUUGACUUUACUCGCAAAAAAAGCACCGGCAAAUUCCUUGCCAGCACCCGCGGUAAUACGGAGGGUGCAAGCUUUAAUCGAAUUUACGGGGCGUAAAGCGCACGCAGGCGGUUUGUUAAUUCAAAUUUGAAAUCCCCGCGCUAAACGUGGAAACUGCAUUUAAAACUGGCAAGCUAAAGUCUUGAAAAAGGGGGGGUAAAAAUUCCGGGUUUUACCGUUAAAUUGCUUAAAGUUUCUGGAGAAAAUACCGUUUGGGCAAAGGGCGGCCCCCUGGAACAAGCGGGCCCCCCCUUUAGGGAGGA